AUUAUUUUUUCUUUUAUUUAACUGAAAUGAAAAAGCUGUUGCUGUAGCUUUAAAACUUUAGCAAGGUUGUUAGUUGUUGAAAGCGGGACAAGCAGCAGUACAUUUGCAACAGUGAAGCAGUACUAAAUAAGAAUUAGUCCAAGUAUAGGUUGAAGUUAUUCAGAGUGAAACUUAAUUGCAGCGGAUAGAAAAUGUAGCUUUCACUUAGCAACAGAGUGGCAAUUAUAAAUGCAUAAGCAGGCAGAGACCAAAAUGAACUUGAAGUAAAAUACUUAGUGUUCAGUAGGAGUAGAUUCCGAAGCUCUUAUGAAGUGUUGCAUCCAGAUAUUGAAUACUUCCUUUGGAGCACAAGCAGAGGUCCUUCUUUCAAUCCGAGGUCGAGGAGAGGAGAAGGUAGGUCAACGAAUUUCAGUCCAGGGUUCGGUACACGUAACAGUAGUUGCAAUAAUUUGUAGCCGGUCUGAGGAUCGCGGGGGAAAGCCUCACAAUAAUCCAGCAUUUUGAAUCUGGCGCGGACUCCCUAUGUAGCGCACGGAGACCGCGUCAGAGAAGGGGGCAUGGCUAUGCUCCGUCUACCCGGAAGUGCAUGGGAAAUGGCGAAACCGACAGGUAUAACCUGACAAGGGGUUCAGGAAUUAGAUGGAAGGUGAAAUUUGACCGACUGCACACGAGGUAGUAUCCGAAAAAGGCUCCAUGUGUUUUGGCCUUGCGGUCGGUCUCUGUUCGGGAGUUAAAAUACAUAGAAAUGCUUGCCACCCACAGCUAAUCUUACAUUCGUAUUAAUUCCCUUGUUUGGGACAUUGAUUUUACCGAACGAGGGGCUGGUUGGCCCCUCCGUUUGUGAGUUACGGAGCUCUGGAGGUCUCAGCGGUGUUCGGUUGUUUGAGUGUCCAAUUUGAGUUCCAGACACACGACGACCAAACACCGCUGAGAUUUUCUUGUGUACGAUGGCCGUCGCCACGCGGUUCGUAUGCGAACGGUGACCACACAGAUACAUACAAAGUAACGAUUUCACGGUCAAUUAGGUUGCGGUUACAGAGUGUGAAAGCUUAACGAGGUGGACACUUCUCGCUGGGGUGGUCUGAUG